rnacentral:rRNA from 1 species
CGGGUGAGUAACACGUGGAUAACCUACCUAUAAGACUGGGAUAACUACGGGAAACCGGAGCUAAUACCGGAUAAUAUAUUGAACCGCAUGGUUCAACAGUGAAAGACGGUUUUGCUGUCACUUAUAGAUGGAUCCGCGCCGCAUUAGCUAGUUGGUAAGGUAACGGCUUACCAAGGCAACGAUGCGUAGCCGACCUGAGAGGGUGAUCGGCCACACUGGAGCUGAGACACGGUCCAG